UCGGGAAUUUUGGGCAAUGGGCGAAAGCCUGACCCAGCAACGCCGCGUGAAGGAUGAAGUAUUUCGGUAUGUAAACUUCGAAAGAAUAGGAAGAAUAAAUGACGGUACUAUUUAUAAGGUCCGGCUAACUACGUGCCAGCAGCCGCGGUAAUACGUAGGGACCAAGCGUUGUUCGGAUUUACUGGGCGUAAAGGGCGCGUAGGCGGCAAUUCAAGUCAUCUGUGAAAUCUCCGGGCUUAACUCGGAACGGUCAGAUGAUACUGCUUUGCUAGAGUGCAGAAGGGGCAAUCGGAAUUCUUGGUGGAGCGGUGGAAUGCGUAGAUAUCAAUCGGAAUGCCAAAAGUGAAGACAGCCGGCUGGGGUUUUCCUGACGCUGAGGCACGAAAGCGUGGGGAGCAAACCGGAUUAGAUACCCCC
rnacentral:rRNA from 1 species